GGCAAGAUGGCCGAGCGGUUAAGGCGUGUGACUCAAGCUCAUCAGGGAAACCUGGCGUGGGUUCAAGUCCCACUCUUGUCA